GGGUUGUGAGGUUAAGCGACUAAGCGUACACGGUGGAUGCCCUGGCAGUCAGAGGCGAUGAAGGACGUGCUAAUCUGCGAUAAGCGUCGGUGAGGUGAUAUGAACCGUUAUAACCGGCGAUUUCCGAAUGGGGAAACCCAGUGUGUUUCGACACACUAUCAUUAACUGAAUCCAUAGGUUAAUGAGGCGAACCGGGGGAACUGAAACAUCUAAGUACCCCGAGGAAAAGAAAUCAACCGAGAUUCCCCCAGUAGCGGCGAGCGAACGGGGAGGAGCCCAGAGCCUGAAUCAGUGUGUGUGUUAGUGGAAGCGUCUGGAAAGGCGCGCGAUACAGGGUGACAGCCCCGUACACAAAAAUGCACAUAUUGUGAGCUCGAUGAGUAGGGCGGGACACGUGGUAUCCUGUCUGAAUAUGGGGGGACCAUCCUCCAAGGCUAAAUAUUCCUGACUGACCGAUAGUGAACCAGUACCGUGAGGGAAAGGCGAAAAGAACCCCGGCGAGGGGAGUGAAAAAGAACCUGAAACCGUGUACGUACAAGCAGUGGGAGCCUCUUAAUGGGGUGACUGCGUACCUUUUGUAUAAUGGGUCAGCGACUUAUAUUCUGUAGCAAGGUUAACCGAAUAGGGGAGCCGAAGGGAAACCGAGUCUUAACUGGGCGUUAAGUUGCAGGGUAUAGACCCGAAACCCGGUGAUCUAGCCAUGGGCAGGUUGAAGGUUGGGUAACACUAACUGGAGGACCGAACCGACUAAUGUUGAAAAAUUAGCGGAUGACUUGUGGCUGGGGGUGAAAGGCCAAUCAAACCGGGAGAUAGCUGGUUCUCCCCGAAAGCUAUUUAGGUAGCGCCUCGUGAAUUCAUCUCCGGGGGUAGAGCACUGUUUCGGCAAGGGGGUCAUCCCGACUUACCAACCCGAUGCAAACUGCGAAUACCGGAGAAUGUUAUCACGGGAGACACACGGCGGGUGCUAACGUCCGUCGUGAAGAGGGAAACAACCCAGACCGCCAGCUAAGGUCCCAAAGUCAUGGUUAAGUGGGAAACGAUGUGGGAAGGCCCAGACAGCCAGGAUGUUGGCUUAGAAGCAGCCAUCAUUUAAAGAAAGCGUAAUAGCUCACUGGUCGAGUCGGCCUGCGCGGAAGAUGUAACGGGGCUAAACCAUGCACCGAAGCUGCGGCAGCGACACUAUGUGUUGUUGGGUAGGGGAGCGUUCUGUAAGCCUGUGAAGGUGGCCUGUGAGGGUUGCUGGAGGUAUCAGAAGUGCGAAUGCUGACAUAAGUAACGAUAAAGCGGGUGAAAAGCCCGCUCGCCGGAAGACCAAGGGUUCCUGUCCAACGUUAAUCGGGGCAGGGUGAGUCGACCCCUAAGGCGAGGCCGAAAGGCGUAGUCGAUGGGAAACAGGUUAAUAUUCCUGUACUUGGUGUUACUGCGAAGGGGGGACGGAGAAGGCUAUGUUGGCCGGGCGACGGUUGUCCCGGUUUAAGCGUGUAGGCUGGUUUUCCAGGCAAAUCCGGAAAAUCAAGGCUGAGGCGUGAUGACGAGGCACUACGGUGCUGAAGCGACAAAUGCCCUGCUUCCAGGAAAAGCCUCUAAGCAUCAGGUAACAUCAAAUCGUACCCCAAACCGACACAGGUGGUCAGGUAGAGAAUACCAAGGCGCUUGAGAGAACUCGGGUGAAGGAACUAGGCAAAAUGGUGCCGUAACUUCGGGAGAAGGCACGCUGAUAUGUAGGUGAAGCGACUUGCUCGUGGAGCUGAAAUCAGUCGAAGAUACCAGCUGGCUGCAACUGUUUAUUAAAAACACAGCACUGUGCAAACACGAAAGUGGACGUAUACGGUGUGACGCCUGCCCGGUGCCGGAAGGUUAAUUGAUGGGGUUAGCGGUAACGCGAAGCUCUUGAUCGAAGCCCCGGUAAACGGCGGCCGUAACUAUAACGGUCCUAAGGUAGCGAAAUUCCUUGUCGGGUAAGUUCCGACCUGCACGAAUGGCGUAAUGAUGGCCAGGCUGUCUCCACCCGAGACUCAGUGAAAUUGAACUCGCUGUGAAGAUGCAGUGUACCCGCGGCAAGACGGAAAGACCCCGUGAACCUUUACUAUAGCUUGACACUGAACAUUGAGCCUUGAUGUGUAGGAUAGGUGGGAGGCUUUGAAGUGUGGACGCCAGUCUGCAUGGAGCCGACCUUGAAAUACCACCCUUUAAUGUUUGAUGUUCUAACGUGGGCCCCUUACCGGGGUUGCGGACAGUGUCUGGUGGGUAGUUUGACUGGGGCGGUCUCCUCCUAAAGAGUAACGGAGGAGCACGAAGGUUGGCUAAUCCUGGUCGGACAUCAGGAGGUUAGUGCAAUGGCAUAAGCCAGCUUGACUGCGAGCGUGACGGCGCGAGCAGGUGCGAAAGCAGGUCAUAGUGAUCCGGUGGUUCUGAAUGGAAGGGCCAUCGCUCAACGGAUAAAAGGUACUCCGGGGAUAACAGGCUGAUACCGCCCAAGAGUUCAUAUCGACGGCGGUGUUUGGCACCUCGAUGUCGGCUCAUCACAUCCUGGGGCUGAAGUAGGUCCCAAGGGUAUGGCUGUUCGCCAUUUAAAGUGGUACGCGAGCUGGGUUUAGAACGUCGUGAGACAGUUCGGUCCCUAUCUGCCGUGGGCGCUGGAGAACUGAGGGGGGCUGCUCCUAGUACGAGAGGACCGGAGUGGACGCAUCACUGGUGUUCGGGUUGUCAUGCCAAUGGCACUGCCCGGUAGCUAAAUGCGGAAGAGAUAAGUGCUGAAAGCAUCUAAGCACGAAACUUGCCCCGAGAUGAGUUCUCCCUGACUCCUUGAGAGUCCUGAAGGAACGUUGAAGACGACGACGUUGAUAGGCCGGGUGUGUAAGCGCAGCGAUGCGUUGAGCUAACCGGUACUAAUGAACCGUGAGGCUUAACCUUACAACGCCGAAG
rnacentral:rRNA from 1 species